GGUAAAAUGGCUGAGGUCAGGCAUUAAACUGUAAAUUUAACGACGGGUUAUUCCCUUUUACCA
rnacentral:tRNA from 1 species